UGGCGGCCGUAGCGCGGUGGUCCCACCUGACCCCAUGCCGAACUCAGAAGUGAAACGCCGUAGCGCCGAUGGUAGUU
rnacentral:rRNA from 1 species